AACGCGAAGAACCUUACCUGGGCUCGAAGCGUAGUGGACCGGGGUGGAAACAUCCCUUGCCCGCAAGGGCCUGCUACGGAGGUGCUGCAUGGCUGUCGUCAGCUCGUGUCGUGAGAUGUUGGGUUAAGUCCCGCAACGAGCGCAACCCUUAUUGCCAGUUGCCACCGGGUUAUGCCGAGCACUCUGGCGAAACCGCACAGGAUAACUGUGAGGAAGGUGGGGAUGACGUCAAGUCCUCAUGGCCUUUAUGUCCAGGGCUACACACGUGCUACAAUGGUCGGUACAAACCGUCGCAAACCCGCGAGGGGGAGCUAAUCGGAAAAAGCCGGCCUCAGUUCGGAUUGGAGUCUGCAACCCGACUCCAUGAAGCUGGAAUCGCUAGUAAUCGCGGAUCAGAACGCCGCGGUGAAUACGUUCCCGGGCCUUGUACACACCGGUACUA
rnacentral:rRNA from 1 species